rnacentral:lncRNA from 1 species
AAAUGCCUCCUCAUUAUCAUGUUAGGAACACAUACUGCAAAGGUUGCCUCUCUUUACUAUUUGAUGUUCGAAGAAAGCCAAUCCCCAACUUCUCACACCCCAAUCACACUAAGAUGCAAUUUUAGAAUAACGCUAACUACAUAACCAAAACUCCGAUAUUCAUGUCCAAGUCUGAGGCGAAUAAAUUUCCCGCAAUCACAAAGAUUUAAGAGUAUUAAAGAAUUCAAAUAUUUCAGCAGAGGGUCCAAUUUGGGACGUAAUAUCACAAUGAUACAUAUAUAGCAAGAUAGCAUCAAUACCUUCGGUUGUCUUCGUAGAAAUGCGUCCAACAAAAAGUUUUCUAUCAUCAAGAAAAUGCAACAAUUAAAACGACAAACAAGAAAAUUAAGAACCAGUGAUUUGCUAUAAACUAAGCUACAAAACUUACCUUUCUGAACAACCAUUGAUUGAAGGUUUUAAUUCAUCGGCUUCCCUAUCGCCUACUUUGUCAGCCAUUUCCACAUCUUCAUUUGGUUGGUCAGUUUCUUCAUUUCGUUCCUCAUCAAAAUUCAUUGUUUUUUUAUCCUUUCCAGCUGAAAAAAGAUAACGAAUCGCAACAAAACCUUGACAGAUUUCAGCACGAGAUCGAAUACUGAGGAUUUUGUGAUUGGGUAAACCCUAGCUUUGUGCGCUAAAAUUUGAAAAUUGCCGCCGAAUGAGAUUUACCAGUAAAUCAAAUACUUCAACAGAAAGAGCAACAACUUGGCGGUUUCAAAAGAGACUACAUAUAUAGUCCGGGAAUAUAAUGCACCACCUUCCAUAUUGCAAUUUUUUUUUUUUAACGUUCAAAUUAUAACUCCUUCCAAUUGAAUUAUACAUCCGUCUCCAUCUAUGUAAUGUACACAUUAGCGUCAAUAAACUGUAAAAUCAAGUAACCAAAUCCAAACCAAUAAUCCAAACCAAAAAAUUAGUUAUUGAUUUAUCAUUAAUGAGUUACUGGUUUGACAAUUUCGAUAAUGAUUUUGAUUUUUUUUAUAACCGGGUUAUCUGAUAGCCUGAUAGUAAAUUAAUAAAUUAUAUUUAUACUUUUCGGUAUAUUAAGUCCUUAACUUAGCGUUUAGUUUCAUACUUUUAUGUUUGAUUAUCUCAAAUUUUCGGUUAUCAUUCAUUGUGCUAGUGUUUGCUUCUAAGCAAAAUGCAAUAUGUCAAUUCAUGUGUAUGAGUUAUUUGGUUUAUUACCUAGUUUCUAAGUGACUUUCAAAGAGUUUUUGGAUGUUAAAUCUUAAUGGUUAAACUGAUAAGUGAACCGAUAAUGAUCGAUAACCGAUAACCUUAUAAGUCAAUACAACGAUUUAACAUGUCUAUAAAGUACAAACGAUAAUCAAUAAGUCGAACACAUAAACUUUAAAUCCGAACUGAAAUGACCCAAUACACAAUCCUACCUGCAUGUUUCAAUUUAGGUGGAUAUGUAUAAGUAUAACUAAAUGAGAUAACAAUUGUCAUGUGAUUAACUUAAUACGUUUGAGAACACACAGGUUUUGCAGAAUUUGAAUAUGUAAAAUGAUAUAUAAUUACUAAUUAGCAAAAUAAAAUUCAUAAAGAAAAAUCAUGCUGUUGCAGAUAAGGAAAUGACAAUAUGCUUGAGAAUAUUCAAUCUGGAUUUAAGCAGAAUGAAAUUUAAUUAAACUUCUCUUGCUUCUAAUUAGUUCCUAUUAGUAAAAACUCAUCCACAGCCCAUAGGCAUUCAGUUUUCAUACAAAGUUGUCAUCUACAUUUCAUUUAAAUGUGAGAUCAGAAUCACAAGGUUUUCAACCUCCUUUUCUUACAAUAUAAAAUGGUUGAUAAACUUGUAAAAGUUAAAACAAAGAACUAUGCUAUCUUUACAUCCCAAAGCUAACAGGCUAAUACAUCUAUCUUACUAGAAGUUAGUGGUCAAAAGUCAUCAAAUAUUUGCAGCCUUGGAGGCGAUCCUGUCACUUCAAAGAAGGAUGAGACCUUCCAUUAUCAGCACCGGUGGCACCAUUUUCCCCACCACCUCCAUAUCCUCCGUUGCACCCAUCAUUCGAGCCGUUACCUCUGCUCCCAUCAUCACUACCACCACCAUAGUAGGCAGGCACAGACCUUCCAUUAUCAGCACCGGCGUUCCCAUAUGCAUUGGCACCAUUUCCGCCACCACCUCCAUAUCCUCUGUUGCCCCCAUCAUUCGAGCCGUUACCACUGUUCCCAUAACCACUACCACCACCAUAGUAGGCAGGCACAAACCUUCCAUUAGCAGCACCAGCGUUCCCAUAUGCAUAGGCACCAUUUCCGCCACCACCUCCAUAUCCUCCAUUUCCCCCAUCAUUCGAGCCGUUACCUCUGUUCCCAUAACCACUACCACCACCAUAGUAGGCAGGUAUACCAUAGGUGCUGCCUUCGUAACCAGCUGCACCAUACAUAGCUUCACCAAACCAAAAUCCAUAACCGUAUCCAGAGUAAAAUCCUGUAGGACUUACACCAUAACUUCCUGCAAACUUGCCAUACCCGCCAUAGUCACCGUAUCCUUCAUAUACACCAUAACCGCUACCCAUAUUUCCACCAUAUCCACCGCCAAAAGCCUCUAGAGAACCACCAUCGCCAUAAUAUGAUUUUGAACCACUCCCACCAUGAUGUAUCUGGCUUUCACUUGUAUGUUCAGCACAAUCUCUCUUUGACUUAGCCCUCUUAAUUUCAACCUAAAGACAACAAAUUAUUAUGUUACGUCAAAUUAAAAGAGGCAACAAUCAGUUCUGUGCUGUAUAAAUUCCUAAUUACUCACUUGUUUGCCACGAAGUUCAUGGAUAUGGCCAUUAGAUAAAACUUUUUCAACUGCUUCCUCUUUAUCAAAACUCACAAUGCCAAAACGUUGGCUCCGACCAGUUGUUUUAUCCAAAAUGAUCUGAUGCCCCACAACAUUGCCAUAAGAAGAAAAAUAUUCCUUCAACUCGCCUGAAAUUAAUCACUAGGUUAAAGAGCAAACUUUCUCAACAGGCAGAAAUAAGAAAUGAUAUCAUGUAUACUCUUUACCUUCAGUUAAAGAUAAUGGAAGACCACCAACAAAAAUUCUCUGUCUAUAAGUUACUGGUAUCUUCACGUCGACCUUAUACACAAAUAGAAUAUACUCUUUAAACAUAAACCAAGGCAAAGAGUAAUAGUAAAUAAAGGAAAAAUGACAGUAUGUGGUGCUUUCAGGAGAAAAUUCUACCUUUCUAUCAUCUAUGAUAUGGUUUUCCUUUAAAACUUUAUCUGCAAUUUCCGUGUCAGCAUAUGUAACAAAUCCAAAUCCUAGUGGCAUUCCAGAGAUUUUCUGAUACAUCACUACAGAGUCAGCUACCUCUCCAAAUCGACUGAAAUACUCCCUAAGUGAUUCUGGAAAGUUAAAGAAAAAAGUUACUAAAUGAGGUUAGAGCAAAGAUAGUCAGAUAUCAUGAAAACAGGAAUGCAGAUAAAGUAGAUGUACUGAUCUCAAAAAUAGAUGUGAAACAUAGUUUACUUGGGCAAACUAUUUUGAGGUUUGUCACUGUUAAAAAUUAAACAUUUUCUAUUACAUGAAAAAAGCAUUUGAAGAAACUAAAUUUACUAUUGAAGGAGAAGAUUAACUCAAUUACUCAAUCAAAUAUUAACAAUUACAUGAAUCUUUAAAAUGCCUCCUCAUUAUCAUGUUAGGAACACAUACUGCAAAGGUUGCCUCUCUUUACUGUUUGAUGUUCGAAGAAAGCCAAACCUCAAAAUCCCACACCCCAUUCAAGUAUUAACUAUUACAUGAAUCUUUAAAAUGCUUCAUUUUCAUGUUAGGAACACAUACUGCAAAGGUUGCCUCUCCUUACUAUUUGAUGUUCAAAGAAAGCCAAAACCCAACUUCCCACACCCCAAUCAAGUAUUAACUAUUACAUGAAUCUUUAAAAUGAGCCAUAUCCGCAUGGCCAGGUGACAAAUGACUACUUACAACACAUUAGUGAUAUAUCAUCAAGCAUGCUUUAACCAGCCAACACACUAUUUUUAAGCUCCAAGAAUAUGCGUAAGGCAAUUGAUAAGAAUACAACACACUAAGAUGCAAUAGAAGCCUAAUGUUAAUAUAGAAGAUUUUCAGCAACCAAUUUUAGAAUAAUUUAACUACAUAACCAAAACUCCAAUAUUCAUGUCCAAGUCAAGACCAUUGUAAUCUCACUUUUAAAGCUUAUUCAUUGCAAAGAAAGACAAG